rnacentral:rRNA from 1 species
ACAUGCCUACAACAUAGUGUUAAUGCACUAGAUCCCAUUAAAACUCUAUAGUUAAGCCCACUCAGGCUAGAAUAGUACUAGGAUGGGUGACCACCCUAGAAGUUCAAGUGUUUUACAUGCC